rnacentral:lncRNA from 1 species
UAACUGAAGUUUGUUGACAAUUUGAAUAUGUAAUGAAGAUUCUAAUCAGCCUGUUCUUGGCUCUUUUGUUGAAGGGUGCUCUUAAAGAGGUCAGACUAUUCAGCUCUGCUGACGUUACUGAAGAAUUAUGUCCUAAAUAUUUACAGGUUCAGGAGGAUGAUCUCAGCUCAACAGACGAUGACCAUGGUAGAAGAGAGAAGAUUCCUGAUUUUCCACCACCCCCUCCGAUUGAUGGGAAUUUCAGACUAGGACUCAAAGGGGAAAAAGGAGACCGAGGAGAAUCGAUCAGAGGACCACCAGGACCACCAGGUCCACCGGGACCACCAGGUCCGCCUUUCUCGGGCGGCGAGCACAGCGAGGACAUCGGGUCGGGAGAUGACGAGAAAAUCAAGGAUUUAAUCGUUAAGCUCCUUCCUGCCAAUAAAGAGUUUGACGGUAGACGUGGACUAGUCGGGCCACCAGGGCCUCCUGGAACAUGUGCCUGCAACUUGACAACUCUUUUCGGUUCGAACAACAUACCAAAGCUCCUGCCAGGUCCUCCAGGAAUUCCCGGAAUAGAUGGCAAAGCUGGACCUCCAGGGACACCGGGAUUACCGGGACCUCCUGGAGAGCAAGGAGCAACCGGUCUUCCUGGCGAAAAAGGUGAUCGUGGAGAUGUGGGGCUCAAGGUCCAGAAGGGAUCCAAGGAUCUAAAGGUAUCAAUUUGAGUUCCUAAUUUGAAGAUUUGCUCCGAUUUAAUGGGGUCAGCCUGACAUUUCCUAAUUUUCU